CAUGUCUAUGUAACAAGGACGAACAGCUCAGUACAACUGCGAUGAUUUAGUCUGUCUGUGUGCGAUAACUACGUGAAAAUGUAGCUAAGAGGGGACAGAAUAAGACGCAGGACUAUCAGUUAGUUGGUAGUGUAAUGGACUACCAAGACGAUGACGGUUGACGGGGAAUCAGGGUUCUGUACCGGAGAGGGAGCCUGAGAGAUUGCUCCCACGUCCAAGGACGGCAGCAGGCGCGAAAAUUGCCCACUGUUUGUAGGAGGCAGUUAUGAGACGUGAAGAUGAGUGCUUGGYAAAGAGAAGCAGGAGAAUUGGAGGGCAAGUUUGGUGCCAGCAGCCGCGGUAAUACCGACUCCAAGAGUGUGUGUGAGAGAUGCUGCAGUUAAAAAGUCCGUAGUCGUAGAAACGUAAACAGAGACUGGGUCUCUAGCAGAAGUGAUGGAAAAGCCAAUGGGGAACAUAGUAUACCAGGGCGAGAGAUGAAAUGUCAAGACCCCUGGUGGACUCAGCGAGGCGAAAGCGAUGUUCUUGUGGGAGUUUUGUGAUCAAGGACGAAGGGUGGAGGAUCGAAAGUGAUUAGAUACCGCAGUAGUUCCAGCAGUAAAAGAUGCCGACAUGUCUGGUGGCAACAGUGGACAGGGAGAAAUCUUAGAGUUCGGGCUCUGGGGAUAGUAUGCUCGCAAGGGUGAAAAUUAAAGAAAUUGACGGAGCUACACCACUAAGGUAGUGGAUUGUGCGGCUUAAUUUGACUCAACGCGGGA
rnacentral:rRNA from 1 species